GACGAACGCUGGCGGCGUGCUUAACACAUGCCAGUCGAACGGAAAGGCCCUGCUUUUGUGGGGUGCUCGAGUGGCGAACGGGUGAGUAACACGUGAGUAACCUGCCCUUGACUUUGGGAUAACUUCAGGAAACUGGGGCUAAUACCGGAUAGGAGCUCCUGCUGCAUGGUGGGGGUUGGAAAGUUUCGGCGGUUGGGGAUGGACUCGCGGCUUAUCAGCUUGUUGGUGGGGUAGUGGCUUACCAAGGCUUUGACGGGUAGCCGGCCUGGGAGGGUGACCGGCCACAUUGGGACUGAGAUACGGCCCAGACUACUACGGGAGGCAGCAGUGGGGAAUAUUGCACAAUGGGCGGAAGCCUGAUGCGGCAACGCCGCGUGCGGGAUGACGGCCUUCGGGUUGUAAACCACUUUCGCCUGUGACGAAGCGUGAGUGACGGUAAUGGGUAAAGAAGCACCGGCUAACUACGUG
rnacentral:rRNA from 1 species